GUGAAAUUGUUGAAAGGGAAACGUUUGACACCAGUCAUGUGGGUGGAAAAUCAGUCUUUUGCAUUGGGGAGUUGUAAAGGUUCGGACCGCAAGGCCGGCUUUUGCUUCAUCUUUGGUGUAAGGGAUGCACUUUUUCAUCUACAGGUCAACAUCAGUUUCUUUUGCUGGACAAAACUCCGAGAGAAGGUAGCAGCUUAGGCUGUGUUAUAGCUCUGGAGCGAUACAGUGAAGGGGACUGAGGUUUUCGCAGCGUGUGCUCUCGGGCAAGGCUGGAUGGGUGCUAUGGGAUCGUUCGGGGUACAAUGCCUGGCAUUUUGCUUCGUGUCUUUUCUAUACUCGCUCAACUUAGCUCUUCCACGCUUAGGAUGUUGACUUAAUGGUUUUAAACGACCCGUCUUGAAACACGGACCAAGGAGUCUAACAUAUAUGCAAGUGUUUGAGUGGCAAACCCAUGCGCGUAAUGAAAGUGAACAUAGGUGCGAUCCGCAAGGUGCAGCAUCUACCGAUCUUGAUAUUUUUGGAUAGAUUUGAGUAAGAGCAUAUAUGCUGGGACCCGAAAGAUGGUGAACUAUGCCUGAAUAGGGUGAAGCCAGAGGAAACUCUGGUGGAGGCUCGUAGCGAUUCUGACGUGCAAAUCGAUCGUCAAAUUUGGGU
rnacentral:rRNA from 1 species